rnacentral:lncRNA from 1 species
GAUUUUGUAAGGAGAGUACUAGAUGGUUGUGGUUUCUCAGCAGGAAUUGGAAUUACUGUUCUUCUUGAUAAAUCUCUUAUUACUAUCCUAGAUAACAAGCUGGGAAUGCAUAAACUGUUGCAAGAAAUGGCUCAUGAAAUUGUUCGCCAAGAAUCUGUUAAAGAGCUGGGCAAGCGCAGUAGAUUGUGGAGAGCUUGUGAUGUCUAUCAAGUCUUAACAAAAAAUCUGGUAAGAGCCAUAUUCAUUCUUGAUUUUUAUGCUUGCAUGUAUUAUAUUUAUGUAUCUGUCAAAAUAAACUGAGUACAUCAGUGUAACCUUGCUUUAUAUAUAUGCUCAUCCGUGAUCUUCAGGGAACUGAAAAUGUUGAAGGGAUAUGGUUAGACACAUCUAAAAUGAGAGAAAUGGAUGUGAGUUCAAGAGCCUUUGUGAGGAUGGAUAAUCUUAGAUUGCUCAAAAUCUACAAUUCUAGAGUUAGAAAUAAUUGUAAACUGCACCUUCCUCGUGGCCUUAAGUUCCUUUCUGAUGAGUUGAGGUACAUCCAUUGGGAUGGAUACCCUCUGAGCUCUAUGCCAUCCAAUUUUCAGGUGGAGAACCUUGUUGAGCUAAACCUGGCUUACAGCAAAGUUAAACAGCUAUGGACAGGAGUACAGGUACGCGAUAAUAUUUUUCCUGAUUCCCUUUUUACAUCAUUUCCUUUUAAAAGUGCAGAUUAGUAUGGGGCAUGUGCUAAUUUGUUGUAGCCUGUUGUAUUGUUAUUGCAGAAUCUUGCAAGUUUGAAAGAUAUUAACCUUAGCAAUUCUGAGCACUUAAAUACUUUCCCUGAUCUCUCACUGGCAAAGAAUCUUGAGAGAGUAAAUUUUGAGUUCUGUACUAGCUUGGUAGAAGUUCCCUCAUCUAUUCAGUUUCUAGAGAAGCUUACUGAUUUGAAUAUGAGAUGCUGCACAUGCCUUGAGAGUUUUCCUACAGGUAUUAAUUUGAGAUCACUUAAGACUCUUUACCUUUCCGGCUGUUCAAAUCUUAGGAAGUGUCCUGAGAUAGGAAAGAACAUAGUGUAUUUAAACUUAAAUGAGACUGCAAUAGAAGAACUUCCGGAAUCAAUUGGCCAUCUCAGUGAUCUCAUAGCAUUGAAUUUGAAGGAUUGUAAGCAAAUCAGGCAUCUUCCAAGAAGCAUGCGUUUGUUGAAAUCCCUUGUGAUUAUUGAUCUCUCUGGCUGCUCAAAUAUCAUUAGGUUUCCCGAUUUUGCAACACGUAUAGAAUUCUUGUACUUGGGUGAAACUGCAAUAGAAGAACUUCCCUCUUCAAUUGGUUGUCUCUCAAGGCUCUCUCGUUUGGAUCUAACAAACUGCAAAAGGCUUAAGAACCUUCCUUCUACCAUUUUUAAGUUGGCAUCUCUUGAAAAUCUUAUCAUCUCUGGCUGCUCAAGUAUUACUGAGAUUCCAGAGAUGUCGAGUAAUAUAAGGAAGUUGUUUAUAGAUGGGACAUCAAUAGAAGAAAUUCCCUCAUCAAUAGAGUGUUGUUUUGAUCUUGUUGAGUUGAACCUGCAAAACUGCACAAGAUUUCGUAUUCUUCCAAGCGGUAUUUGUAGGUUGAAAUCUCUGCAAAAGCUUAAUCUCUCAGGUUGCUCCAUGUUUGAGAAUUUUCCAGAAGUUUUGGAGGUUAUGGGAUCAUUGAGGUAUCUAUAUUUAGAUGGAACAGCCAUACAAGAGUUACCUUCACCAAUUGAAAAUUUGAAAGGGCUUACCUGCUUGGAAUUAAGGAACUGCAGAAAUCUACAGGGAUUGCUGGAAGGAAUCUCUGGUGUAAAAAAUUUCAGCAGAUUACCUGAAAGGUGGGUGGAUAUUCAAUAUCUACGAAAGCUCAACGUAAAUAAUUGCAGUUUAUCACAUGUGCCUUAUUGCAUUGGCUGCUUAUCCUCACUAGAAGCAUUAGAUCUAAGUGGAAACCCUUUUACAUACAUGCCUGAAAGCAUUAGUAAGCUCUUUGAGCUUCAGUACCUUGGUUUAAGAAAUUGCCAGCAGCUAAUAUCAAUACCAGAUCUUCCGCCCCAGCUUACAAAAUUAGAUGCACAUUUUUGCGUUUCGCUGAGAUCAGUAUCACUUCAUUCCAAUGGAGCCGAGGGAAACAUUUUUGAUUUCCAUUUCACUAAUUGUGACAAGUUAACUUCAGUUGCAAGGCACAACAUCAUGGCAUAUGCUCUACGAAAAAUUGAGCUGUACUCCAAAAAACUGCAUUGUCAGGUCUUUCACUCCUCUAAAUUUUUCCCUUUGUUCUUUUCAAUUGACCAUCUCCCUUAUUAAAAUUGCUGCUUUUUCUUAUUUGUGUGCAGAUGCCUUCUGUGUUAGCUGGGGAAUCUAGCUUUUGCAUUCCUGGAAGAAAAAUUCCGAAGUGGAUUUGCCAUCAGAGUGAGGGAUUUUCAACGACAGUUCGACUGCCUUCACAGUGGAGUAAUGGUGAGUUCCUGGGUUUCAUUCUCUGUGCAGUUAUUGCAUUCAAUGACUCCAACAUUGACAACGGUUUCCAAGUGAAAUGUGAAUACCAUUUCAAAGAUGAGCAUGGCAACUGCAGUAAUCUCCAUGGUCAUAUCAGUGGCUGGUAUGGUCGAAGAUAUCUCUGGAAUUACCGCGAAAUCCAAAACGGGGGAGUAUAUCCCAUGUUCUUUGGGUAUGAUCCUUGUGUGGAUGUUAAGAAAAAUGCUCAGUUUCCUAAACACACACAGCUUCUGGUUGAAUUCCAUCCUGAAGAUAUGGAUGGCCAUCCUUUACAUUGUUGCAAGGUUGUCAAUUGCGGGGUACGUAUAUUAUAUGCUGAAGAGGAGAGAUUAUGUCGAUGUUCUUCUCUCCAUCAACAGAUUAAGGAAGCAUUAUCCAAAACAAGGGAUGAAAUUUGCUCCUAUGAAGAUCAAAAUCUAUGGGAGAGCUUUCUGGAACACAAGAAAACCAAAGUUGUUGGGACAAGCUGCAAAAUGUACCAAUGUUUGCUCUGUGAAAGUCACGACUUUGGGUGUUUCGAUGUGGUCGAUGAACAAGAUAUUGAUACUCUUGCAUCUUUAUGAGAAAUUUCAGAUUUAGGCAAUUGUAUGACAUGAAAAAAGAAAAAAUGAGAAUAAGGUGGAGAGAGAGAAAAAAAAAAAGAAGAAUCUAAUACCAGUGGUCAAUUUUAUUUUAAUAUUAUUAAUAUACAUUUCUCCAUCUUCUUCUCUUCCCUUUCCCCCUUUCUCUCUCAGAAAUGACCAGUUUAGAAGCUUCCUUCCUAUCAUCAAUAAGCAAAACCCGUGAACUUUCCAUGCAUUUUCAUAAAUUUGGCUACAACCCUAAGGUGCCUAUAUAUAUAUAAAUCAAUGACCAAGGGUGCAUAUGCUUCUAAGGAAAUUUUAUAAGAGAAAAAAAAUAAGUGUUAAUGAGAUAUAUAGCACAUCUUUAAUAUCUAGUGAUGGGUUGUUUUGGCAAGCGAAACUCUGAAAAUAAACAAAACCCAUAUCAAACACCUGCCAAAGGAACUAAUCCUCCUCGUCAAGCUCAUUAUGGAGGAGCUAGAAAGGCAAAAGUCGCAGCAAACAUAGCCAUGGUGUUGGAGCAGUUACUGCAGGUGUUACUGCUGCAGUCGCUGCAAGUUCAGCCGCUUCUAGUGGUGCUGGUGCUUGUGGUGGAGGUGGUUGCGCCGUUUCAGGCUGUUGAGGAUUGUCUUUGCAACAAUUCAAUUUCUUCUUUAUAUAUUUGUUAAUUACAUAUCAUCUCAUGAGAUUCUAUUAAUUUGUCAUGUUUUUACUUGAAUUUCAGAAAUAAAAAUUAUAGAAGAAAAUAAAAGGAUUGGUUGUAAGAAAUAUAUAUUGUUGUAUAUAUUCUGUGUUUAAUAUAUAUAUUUGAUUAUGGAAUUGUUAUAGUAAUAAUUUUAUUUUUAUUUUUAGCAAUAAAGUUAAUUACAACAAAGAUUUUAUAUUGAUAUAGUAAUAAUUUUAUUUUUAGCCUUAAAGUUAAUUAGUUAUUAUGACUAAAAUAAAAAGUAUUAGGAGACCAAUGAUUAUAUAUAAAGGAUAUCAUAGAAUUUUAAAAAUAAAAAUCUUAACAAAUAAUUGAUUUUUAAAUUGAUCCCUAAUUAUUACUAUUAAUUUAUAAAAAAAUUAGUUUAUAAAUAAUUGUAAUAUUAGUGCAUUAAUUUAAAAAGUAUAGCAACUUAUUUGUAAAUAAGUAUACUGCUUAAGGACCAAUUUAUAAAUUUAUGUGUGCUUAAUCAUAAAUAAUAAUUAUAAUAGGGAUAAAUUAGUAAAAGUUAAUAAGUGAAUUGUAAAAAAAAAUAAAAAUAUAAACUAAAGGACUAAACUGUAACUUUUACUAAACUUAGUUUAUUCUUUUAUAUUAAAAAUAUAAUAAAUGAAAUUUUAGUCAUUUUUAUACAAUUAACCGUAAUUUUAACUGUAAAUCUAAUGAUAAUUUAUAUGUUUAUUUAAAUGUUAAAAUGUCAAUUGGUAGAUUUUAAAAACAUAUAGAUUACAACAAAAUAAUUUAUUAAACUAUAAAGACAACUGAAAUUUAUCUAAUUAAUAAUUAUAAAAUCUAAAAAAAAUUUAAAAAACAUAUAAAAACUACAUUAUAACGUUGACGGUAAUAAUGCAGAUACCAAUAAGACGAAAGAAGCUAGAUAAUAAAUGGAUUGUUUCUUACCAUCCAUAUCUCUUAACAAUAUGCAACUAUCACAUAUAUGUGCUAGCUUAAAGGAAGUUAAAUGUUUGUAUAAGUACAUCUAUAAAGGACAUGAUAAGAUCUCAAUUUGCAUGUCCCAUGAAGAUGAACCAAUGGAUGAAAUACAAUAAUUUCAAGAUACAAGAUGAGUGUCAGCUCAAGAAGCGAUAUGGAAAAUAUUUGAAUUUGGGCUCAAUGAAAUAAACCCUUCAGUUUUAAAUCUACAGUUACACUUGCCAAAUUAGCAAAUGGUAUCAUUUUAGAAAAUCAGAAUCUUAAGCAUGUUAUGCAAUGGGAUCAUAUAUCAAGAACAAUGUUAACAAAGUUCUUAAGAACCACUUGAUGAAGAAGCAAGAGGACUAUUGUAUAGGGAAUUUUCAGAACAGUAUGUAUGGAGUCUAAACAAAAAUCAAGGCAAGUAAUAGGUUGUGUAAAUGCAGUGAAUCCGAUAGAGGGUGAAAGAUACUAUUUGAGAUUGCUUUUAAACUAUAUAAGAGGUCCAAAGUCAUUUGACGAUCUAUUAACAAUAGAAAAUGUCCAAUGCUCGAUUUAAAGAGUCAGCUAUUAGAAGAGGACUACUUGAGUCAGAUAAUAGUGCAUCUGAAUGUAUGAGUGAAGCAGUCACACUCCAGAUGCCAUAAGAAUUGAGGAAAUUAUUUGUAAUUAUAUAUAUUGUAAGCCUGCUGAUGUGAGAGGAUUAUGGGAUAAUUACGGGAUGAUUACUUUGAUGCCAUAUAUGAGAAUUUUAAUAGAAUGUACCAAGGCUCAAUGCAGAAAUAGAUUUCUUUAACAUUGAAAAGUAUAAACUAUCAUUUACAGAGCAUGGAAAAAGAUAUAAAGAAUUAUAAUUUGUCAAAUAUAGAAGAAGAUCAAACACAUCAAUCAAUCAAAAACUCAAGAGAAAUAACAGAUGAGAUGGCUAUAGAAAUACUUGAGGAAGAUAUUAAUGUGGUACAUAAAUUAAAUAUUGAGCAACUCCAUGCAUAUAAAAUCAUAUUGCAAACAGUGGACUUAAACACUAGCGGGGUCUUUUUUGUGGAUGGAUAUGGAGGGACAGAAAAGAUAUUUUUAUAUCGUGCAUUACUCGCAUAUGUAAGAUCUAUAGGAAUGAUAGCACUUGUCAUAGCAACAUCUAGGAUAAUAGCGUUUAUUAUGCUUGGAGGAAGAACUACACACUCACGAUUUAGUAUACCAUUAAGCCCAAUAGAGUCGAACAUGUGUAGUAUAUCUAAGCAAAGCGGACAGACAGAAUUAUUAUGCAUUGCAAAAUUGAUUAUAUGGAAUGAAGCACUGAUGGCAAAAGGACUAGCAAUAGAAAUAGUUGAUAGAAGCUUGAGAGAUAUAAUGGAUAAUUCUCAACCAUUCGGAGAGAAGGUAAUAGUGUUUAGUGGAGAUUUCAGGUAGGUAUUACCGGUGGUACCUAAAGCCUUAAGACAAGAAAAUGUUAGUGUAAGUCUCAUGAAAUCUUAUUUAUGGAGUAAAAUGGAAGUGCUAAAAUUAACAACCAAUAUGAGGGCUAGAACAUAUCAAUAUUUUGGAGAAUUCAUACUCAGAGUUGGUAAUAGAGAAGAGGUAGAAACAAAAGAAUGUAAUAUAAGAAUACCUGAAGAGAUGGUAGUGAAGUAUGAAAAUGAAAAUAACUGUAAAGAAGUAUUAGGUGAUGCAAUAUAUUCAUCAUUGGAGAAAAAUGCUAGAUUGGCAUAGUACAUGACAAAUCGUGUAAUCCUAACAACAAAAAAUGAAUAUGUAGAUAGUUUUAAUGAAAAGAUGAUAAAUAUAUUCUUUAGUAAAAGCGAUACUUAUACCAAUUUUGAUGAAACAAUAGAUAAUACAAAUAACUAUUACCAAGAGGAAUUCUUAAAUAUUUUAUUACCGAAUGGAUUGCCUUCGCACAAGUUAGAAUUAAAAGUGAAUUGUGCAAUGAUACUGUAAAAAAACCUAGAUCCUUCAAAUGGCCUAUAUAAUGGAUCAAGAAUGGUGUAUAAAAAUUUUAGAAAAAAUAUAAUUCAUGCAAAGAUAAUAGUAAGACGUGUUGAUAAGCAAAUUCUAUUACUAUUUUUACCUGCAGAAAAUAAAGAUGUCCUUUUCGUUUUAAAAGAAUACAAUUUCCUAUUUGUCUAUGUUUUGCAACGACGAUAAAUAAAGCUCAGAGAUAAAUAAUAUUAAACUUUGGUAUGUAUUUGAUACAUGAUGUUUUCUCUCCUAAACAAUUAUAUAUCGCACGAUCAAGGGAAGUAUUAAUUUCAAUUAUAAAAAUCAUUAUAAAGUCAGACAAUAAAAAAGAAAAAAGCAAAAAUGUACGAAGAACGUAGCAUAUAAAUAAGUGUUAUUAUCAUAAAAGUGAAAGAAUAUAAAAUAUAUAUUUAAAUAUAAACAAAUAUUUAGUAAUUAUAUUAAAAUAAUAUUAACUAUUAUAAUAAUUUUAAUAAUGGAGUAAACAUAUAUUUAAAAGUCAAUUGCUUGAUUACAAUAAUAACACGAAAGCAAAAAUCAUUAAAUGUGAUGUGAUUUUAUAUUUUAAUAUUAAUAUUAAUAUUUUAUUAUUUUUUAUGAUAAUUCUUCAACAAUUAUAUUAUAAAAAAAUGAAUGUAUUCAAUGAAUAUAAACAACGUGUAAAUCACGUUAAUUAAAACUAAUUAUUACAGAAGUGCUUUAUAAAAGUGGGAACUGAAUUAUUUAUGUUGUUAAACCUAAAUAUGGGCAGGUUAUCGUGGACCAAAUUGAAACAGAAUGGGUUAAAUUUAAAAUAUUGGUGAAUUAAUUUUGGUCAAUUAAUUUUAAUUUAUUUAUUUAUUCAUAUGCCAAUGAUAUAUUCAAUAAAUAUUAUUAUUUAAACUAAUAAGAAAUGUACUAUGUUAGUAUAUUAUUAAUGGUAAAAUAUAAUAUAGUCUCUAUAUUUAGAUAAAUUCUUCACUUUAGUCUUUAAAGUUUAAAAACACACAUAUUUAGUCGUUAACAUUUGAAUUAACCUAUAAUUUAGACUCUGCUAUUAGACUUACGGUUAAAAUGAUGCUAAUUUCAGAAAAAAAUAAGUUAAAUACCCUUUAUUAUAUAUUAUAAAUUAAUUUCUAAAUAUUAUACUUAUUUGUAAAUAUCUAUAUUUCUAUAAAUUAGUUCCUAAAUAUUUCAAUUGUUUAUGACUAAGUCCUUAUAAUUUAAAAAUUGAUUUCUAAAAUAUUUUUAUUGUUUAUAAAUAAUUUUAAAAAUAUUUUUUAAAUUGAUCCCUAAUUAUUACUAUUAAUUUAUAAAAAUAUUAGUUUAUAAAUAAUUGUAAUAUUAGUGCAUUAAUUUAAAAAGUAUAGCAACUUAUUUGUAAAUAAGUAUACUACUUAAGCACCAAUUUAUAAAUUUAUAUGUGCUUACUCAUAAAUAAUCAUUACAAUAGGGAUAAAUUAGUAAAAGUAUUAAAGUGAAUUGUAAAAAAAAUAAAAAUAUAAACUAAAGGACUAAACUGUAACUUUUACUAAACUUAGUUGAUUCUUUUGCAUUAAGAAUAUAAUAAAUGAAAUGUUAGUCGUUUUUAUACAAUUAACCGUAAUUUUAACUGUAAAUCUAAUGGUAAUUUGUAUGUUUAUUUAAAUGUUAAAAACUCAAUUGGUAGAUUUUAAAAACACAGACUACAACAAAAGAAUUCACUAAACUAUAAAAACAUAACUGUAAUUUAUCUUAUUAAUAAUUAUACAAUGUAAAAGUUUUUUAAAAAAUAUAUAAAAAUUAUAUUAUAACAUUGACUGUAAUAAUGCAGAUAUCAAUAAGACGAAAGAAGCUAGAUAAUAAAUGAAUUGUUCCUUACAAUCUAUAUCUCUUGACAAUAUACAACUGUCACAUAAAUGUUGAGAUAUGUGCUAACUUGAAGGGAGUUAAAUGUUUGUAUAAGUACAUCUAUAAAGGACAUGAUAGGAUCUCAGUUUGCAUGUCCCAUGAAGAUGAACCAAUUGAUGAAAUACAAUAAUUUCAAGAUACAAGAUGGGUGUCAGCUCAAAAAGCUAUACGGAGAAUAUUUAAAUUUAAGCUCAAUGAAAUAAACCCUUCAGUUUUAAAUCUACAGAUACACUUGCCAAAUUAGCAAAUGGUAUCAUUUUAGAAAAAUCAGAAUCUUAAGCAUGUUAUGCAAUGGGAUCAUAUAUCAAGAACAAUGUUAACAGAGUUCUUAAGAACAUGCUCACUUAAUGAAGAAGCAAGAGGACUAUUGUAUAGGGAAUUUUCAUAACAGCAUGUAUGGAGUCUAAACAGAAAUCAAGGCAAGUAAUAGGUUGUGUAAAUGCAGCGAAUCCGAUAGAGGGUGAAAGAUACUAUUUGAGAUUGCUUUUAAACUAUAUAAGAGGUCCAAAAUUAUUUGACGAUCUAUUAACAAAAGAAAAUGUUCAAUGCCCGAUUUAAAGAGUCAACUAUCAGAAGAGGACUACUUGAGUAAGAUAAUAGUGCAUCUGAAUGUAUGAGUGAAGCAGUCACAUUCCAGAUGCCAUAAUAAUUGAGGAAAUUAUUUGCAAUUAUAUAUAUUGUGAGCCUGCUGAUGUGAGAGGAUUAUGGGAUAAUUACUUUGAUGCCAUAUAUGAGAAUUUUAAUAGAAUGUACCAAGACUCAAUGCAGAAAUAGAUUUCUUUGACAUUGAAAAGUAUAAACUAUCAUUUAUAGAGCAUGAGGAAAGAUAUAAAUAAUUAUGAUUUGUCAAAUAUAAAAGAAGAUAAAACACAUCAAUCAAUCAAAAACUCAAGAGAAAUAACAAAUGAGAUGGCUAUAGAAAUACUUGAGGAAGAUAUUAAUGCAGUACAAAAAUUAAAUAUUGAGCAACUCCAUGCAUAUAAAAUCAUAUUGUAAAGGGUGGACUUAAACACUAGCAGGGUCUUUUUUGUGGAUGGAUCUGGGAGACAGAAAAGAUAUUUUUAUAUCGUGCAUUACUCGCAUAUGUAAGAUCUAUAGGAAUGAUAACACUUGCCAUAGCAACAUCUGGGAUAGUAGCGUCUAUUAUGCCUGGAGGAAGAAUUGCACACUCACGAUUUAGUAUACCAUUAAGCCCAACAGAGUCGAGCAUGUCUGGUAUAUCUAAGCAAAGUGGAUAGAUAGAAUUAUUAUGCACUACAAAAUUGAUUAUAUGGAAUGAAGCACUGAUGGCAAAAGGACUAGCAAUAGAAAUAGUUGAUAAAAGCUUGAGAGAUAUAAAGGAUAAUUCUCAACCAUUCGGAGAGAAGGUAAUAGUGUUUGGUGGAGAUUUCAAGUAGGUAUUAUCGGUGGUACCUAAAGCCUCGAGACAAGAAAAUGUUAGUGUAAGCCUCAUGAAAUUUUAUUUAUGGAGUAAAAUGGAAGUGCCAAAAUUAACAACCAAUAUGAGGGCUAGAACAGAUCAAUAUUUUGGAGAAUUCAUACUUAGAGUUGGUAAUGGAGAAGAGGUAGAAACAAAAGGAUGCAAUAUAAGAAUACCUGAAGAGAUGGUAGUGAAGUAUGAAAAUGAAAAUAACUGUGAAGAAGUAUUAGGUGAUGCAAUAUAUCUAUCAUUGGAGAAAAAUGCUAGAUUAGCAUAGUACAUGACAAAUCGUGCAAUCCUGACAACAAAAAAUGAAUAUGUAGAUAGUUUUAAUGAAAAGAUGAUAAACAUAUUCCAUAAUAAAAGCAAUACUUAUACCAGUUUUGAUGAAACAAUAGAUAAUACAAAUAACUAUUACUAAGAGGAAUUUUUAAACACUUUAUUACUGAAUGGAUUGUCUUCGCACAAGCUGAAAUUAAAGGUAAAUUGUGCAAUGAUACUGUCAAGAAACCUAGAUCCUUCAAAUGACCUAUAUAAUAGAAAAUGAAAGGUGUAUAAAAGUUUUAGAAAAAAUAUAAUUCAUGCAAAGAUAACAGUAAAAUAACAUAUUGGUAAGCAAAUUCUAUUACUAUUGUUAUCUGCAGAAAAUAAAGGAUGCCCUUUUUAUUUUGAAAGAUGCAAUUUUCUAUUCGUCUAUGCUUUGCAAUGACGUUGAAUAAAGUUCAGAGAUAAAUAAUAUCAAAUUUUGAUGUGUAUUUGAUACAUGAUGUUUUCUUUCAUAAUUAAUUAUAUAUCACACUAGUAAGAGAAGUAUCAAUGUCAACUAUAAAAAUUAUUAUAAAGUCAAAUAAUAAAAGUAAAAAAAAGAAAAAAUAUACGUAAUAUAUAAAUAAGUCUCAUUACCAUAAAAGUUAAAGAAAAUAAAAUAUAUAUUUAAAUAUAAUAAAAUAUUUAGUAAUUAUAUUAAAAUAAUAUUAACUAUUAUAAUAAUUUUAAUAAUGCAGUAAACAUAUAUUCAGAAGUCAAUUGCUCGUUUACAAUAAUAACACGAAAGCAAAAAUCAUUAAAUGUGAUGUGAUUUUAUAUUUUAAUAUUAAUAUUAAUAUUUUAUUAUUUUUUAUGAUAAUUCUUCAACAAUUAUAUUAUAAAAAAAUGAAUGUAUUCAAUAUAAACAACGUGUAAAUCACGUUAGUUAAAACUAAUUAUUUUAUAAUUUAUUUAUUUAAUAAAAUAUAUAUUCAAAAAUAUUUUUUUAAAUGGAUAUUCAAAAAUAUUUAAAACUUAGUAUUAGUUUUUUACAUUUUAUUUAAAUUUUUUACUUUUAUUUUUUUUUUAUAUCGAAAUUAAAUUAACUAUUUAUAACUUAAAUUUAAUUAAAAUUAAAAUUAUAACUGUAAAAAUUAAAAAAACCACUUUAAAACUAAAUGAAAACCAUUAAAAAUCUAAAAUCAUUUAGAACUAUUUUAAAUCCGACUGAUUUUAAUACUAUUCAAAAAAUAAAUAAAACUUUCAUUUUCAAACUGAAACCAGACCAAUAGCGGCCAUGGCCGCGUGUAGUUAAACCUUACCGUACGUUGCCUGAAAGAGCAAUCAACGAAAAUAAUUGUAAGCUGACCGUUUACUCUGUUAAAUAGUGAGGUUAAUCACUAGAGAAGCUAGACCGUGUGGUUACUCAAAUUGGGUUGACGGAUCAUCUAUUUCUCUUUCUUGGUUGCGCCAUUGGUCGAUCGAAGCAAAAAAUUUGUUGCCUUCCUCAUAUUUUCUAUGUAAAUCAAGCUUCUAAUCAUCAAGGUAUUCUCUGGUUUAUGCUUUUUUGAUCCAUAUGCAUAUUGGGUUUUCUCUCAUUCUCAUUUGAUGGCUUCGAUUUGUGAAAUCCUCUUCUAAGCUGAUAUUCAAUGUUAGUUUGAAAAUGAUUCUUUCCUUUAGAAGAGAGGUGAACUUGGGCUCAAUGAUCAAUUGUGUUUCAGCUUAGAAAAUUGUGAACUUAGGCUCAAUCACCUAUGGCAUUUAGAAAAGAAGGUAUAUAAAAACGCAAUUUAGGAAAAAAAAACGAAGUUUCAAAAGGGGUUCGUAAGAUGCAUUUGCUGGUUUGGAAGAGGUAGAUUUUCCUUGCCGUGUAAAUGGGUGAACUCGAGUCUUAUAUAAUUAGGGGUAUUUAAAAAUGACCCAUAAUUUGCUUCAAUUUAUCCGUAGUUAAACUAAAAUUAUACAAGUGUUGAUAGAUUGGGUUGGGUUAUUAUUGUUAUUAUUAUUUUUUCAAAUCAAACUGCAAUUUACAGAUUGAAUUAUAUGUUUCUUAGUUAAAUCAAUAAUUUGACUCAAACCAAUUCUCAUUAUUCUCAAAUAAUGCUCUUACUCCUUUUCUUUUGUUUUAAUUUUAGUUACCCAAUUAAUGCUUCUCCAGUUUUUAAAAAGAAAUAUACAUCUAAUUGCUUUAGUAGCGAUCAUUUUAUUACUAGCUUUGCUUGAUGCAGCCAUUGAAAGCAUAUUACUCACUUGGUAGACUUAAGGUUGAGUUUCCACUCCCUUUAAUACCUUACACAAUCUUUUUUUUUUUUUUUAAAGAAAAAAACACAACGAAUUUAUAUAUAGAAGAUUUACAAUUUAGUCCCUAGAUAUUGUUAUUAUUAACAAGUCAGUCUUUGCAUUUUUUAAAAUUUGUUAAAAUAUUCUUAUCUUUUUUCUCCAUGAACGAAAUAGUAAAUAUAGCAAAAGACCAAAUUAUCCCUCUUCUUCUCCUCCUUCUUCUCCUUCUAGGGACUAUUUUUAUUGAUGGGGAGAAACGAUAAAGACGUUUUAAUAGAUAAAAAAAAAAGAUAAGGAUGUUUUAUUAGAUUUCUGAGAAUGUAGGGACUAACUUGUUAAUAAUGGCAAUACCCAAUGACUAAAUAAGGGAUCUUAUUUGAAGUCAAAAUUGAGUUUUAAAAUUUUUUUCUCUCAUCUUUCAUUUAUUUUUAAUGAAAAAGAGGACGGAAGAACUAUUUUGUUGACGGAGAGAAAAUAUAAGGACGUUUUAAUGAGUUUCUGAAAAUGGAAAAUGCAGAGACUGAUUUGUUAAUAAUGGUAAUACUCAGGGACUAAAUAGUAAAUCUACCUUUAUAUAUGUGUGUGUCUAUAUACACACAUCCCCCUUGUUGAUAGAGUUGGAAGAUACAAAUUCUUUUCAAGCAAUUUAUUUGUCUAUGAAUUUUUUUACAUUUAGAAAAUAAUUGUCAAAGUGCUCUGUCUCCCGUUUGAUUUGCAAACACCAAAUUGCUAUUUUCUCUUUCUAAUUUCCUUUGUUUGUGUGGUUCAUUGGUUAUUACAAUUGACUUCUUCUUUUAGUUUAUCAGGAGACGAGUGAGCCUCUUCAUCACCGAUAUUCUAACUGUCUAUCAUCAUGGCAUCUUCCUCCAUAGCUCGAAAACGGAAGUAUGAUGUGUUUCUUAGCUUUAGAGGAGAGGAUACCCGUGAUAAUUUUACUAGCCAUCUCUAUGAUGCUUUAUCUCGUAAAAAAAUCAAGACCUUCAUAGACAAUGACCUUGAAAGAGGGCAAGAAAUAGCCCCAGUCAUUUUGAGAACAAUUGAAGAAUCAAUGUUUUCUGUAAUCAUUUUCUCCAAAAAUUAUGCAUCUUCUCCAUGGUGCUUGGAUGAAAUGGUGAAAAUACUUGAGUGCAGGGAAGUUCAUGGUCAAGCAGUUUUACCAAUUUUUUAUUAUGUAGAUCCUUCCGAUGUUGAAGGUCAAAGUGGAAGUUUUGGAGAUGCAUUUAUUGAACUUGAGAAGAACUUCAAGGAUAAAAUGGAAAGGAUGCCCAAGUGGAGGGCUGACUUGAUGAAAGUUUCAAGGAUAUCUGGAUGGGAUUCCCGGGUUAUAAGGUAUGUGUCAAUUUCUUUUCAAAUGGCUCCAGAAACAUGUCUUUCUCUUUUAAGAAAGAUGAAAAGGGAAAAAAAAACUUGUUUUGAUAAUUUUUUUUAUAACUAGACAGUAAAACAAAAAACAGAAUAAAUAGCAAAUGGACCCUAAAAUAGCCUUUUUGCUAGAUAAAUCUUGGUCAUAGUUCAUGAAACCCACAUGAGUUGAACUAGCGAACAAGUGUAUUAAAUACUUGCUUGUAUAUGUUGUUAGGUUUACAUAAAUUGGCCUUAUUAUGUUUAUCCCAUCUCAACCAUUAAAUUCAAAUUUAGUGGUUGAGAUUCAUUGUGUAAUAUAUACCCAACCAUUUCCUUCUAUGAACCAAAAAGGUUUUCCUUCACCAAAAUAUCCGUUAGAGCUGUAGCUCUAACAGAGGGAAGGAAGAGAGAAUAGGAAAGAGGGUGGGAGAAGAAUAAGAAGAAGAAGAAGAGAAGAAGAGUGUUUGGAUAACAGAAGAGAAGGGAAUGAGAGAGAAUAAGCUCAGUUUGAAUUAGUAUUUCUGAAUGCCUUUCAUGUGUAUUCCACUGCGAUUAUAUUAGCCCUGUAACUAAUUUGACAGUUGUACUACCUCUAGCUAUUACAAACUUCUAGCUAUAACAACCCAUUCAACUAUAGUACUUUCCCUCCAAAAGUCUUUAUACAUUUUAUUCCCUCUUAUUUCUAUUUUUCUUCCUACAAUACGUGACAAUACUCCCCUGGUGGAGAACUUUCUUGAACCCAAAAAAGGGAGAUACCGGGAAACUGAGCAACAAUGAAUGACUUGUCUUCUCAAAUGGCAUCUUUAGGAGGAAGAUUGUAUGACUUAAUUAAUCCUUGUUUAACAUGUUCUCCUCCUCUGAGAAUAGUUCUAGUCUACAACACCCUCUCUAGAGCCACUAUGAAACUGUCAUCCUGAAUCUGUGGUAGUGUUGUGGAAAUACUAAUAGAGUCCCCAAUCCUUUUUCUUGAGUAAAAGGCACAUGGAAAACAAGAUGAAGUGAAGAUUUAGGUGGUAAUUCCAGCUUAUAAGAUGAAGGGCCAUAAUACUUGGCAGAUAGCUUUAAGGGUCGUUUGAGUGCUAAUAACGUUUGUCUAUAAGGUUGAAGCUUUAAAUAUGCCAAGUCCCCCACAAGAAAUUUCUUUCAGACCUCUUGGUAUCUUCCUGUUGUUUUUGUUACAUUCUGUUUUGAGCAAUUUCUAAAUUUUCUUUCAAGAGUUGCACUAGCCCUUACCUGUCUUGUAGAAAAUUAUCCACAACAUCUACCAUUGUGCCAUCUGUUAAUUCCAUUGAAAAACUCGUAGGAGGAUAUCCAUACAGUCCUUGAAAAGGAGACAUCUUAAGAGCACUGUGAGGAGUGGAAUUAUACCACCACUCAGCCAUAGGAAGCCAUUGAAUCCAAUUAGUGGGUUUCAAGUGAACCAGGCACUUUAAGUAAUUUUCUAAGUAUUGAUUAACCUUUUUAGUUUGCCCAUCAAAUUGAGGAUGAUAGGCUGGACCGAAGACUAGUUUGACUCCCAAGGAGUUAAACAGCUCUUGCCAAAACAAACUGGUAAAGGCCUUAUCCUUGUCAGAUACUAUGAUCUAGGGAAUGGCAUGCAACUUGUAAAUGUGAUCCAUGAAUAGUUUAGCCACUUUAGGAGCAGAGAAGGGACGAUUUAGAGGGAAAAAAUGGGCUAGUUUUGUAAGUAUGCAUAUCACCACUAAAAUAGUGUCCUCUUUUGACUUUGGAAGCCCUUCAAUGAAAUCCAUAGCUAUUUCUUGCCAUGCCUGGGUAGGAAUUGGCAAGGGUUGUAAUAAUCUUGGAUAGGCACAGUGUUCACUCUUGCAUCUUGCACAUACUUCACGGUUCACACUGUUUAACCCAUUCCAUGAGCUUCCUCAAUAUGCCAGGCCAAUAGAAAUGCUUCAUUGCUUCUUGAACUUCAAAUAAGUAGCAAAUAAGUAGCAUGGACCCAAGAAUGCCCUCCCACCGGGGAGUUGUGGUAAGUUUCCAGUAGCUGCUGUAGAAGCUCCAACAUACAUUCUGUUUUUAUAGAACAACACUCCAUUAUUCAGCUGGUAAUUACUGAGAGCUGUAGGGGCACUGGGGCAGUUGAUAAUUGUUGUAUCAAUUUAGUGGCCUUUAAAUCCCCCUCAUAACUGUGCUCCAAGUGUUGCUUCCAAGAUGGAACCACCACUGAUUGCAAGUGAUACAAUUGUUGCUCAAUAGAACUCAUAGACUUCCUAGAAAGUGCAUCUACUACCUUAUUCUCCACUCCCCUUUUAUAAAGAAUUUUAUCGUCAAGACCAAGCAGCUUUAUAAUUACUCUCUGCUGUAGAUUAGUAUGUAGUCUUUGUUCCAUGAGGUAUUUAAUACUUUCAUAGUCUGUUUUGAUAAAAAAAAUUGCAAUUCUUCUAAAUAAUGCCUCAAUUUGUCGACUGUAAAGGUAAUAGCUAGUAACUCCUUGUAAACAGACGAGCCUUGAUUUUUGGAUCCAGGCAUGGCAUUAUUGACACUGCUCUUCAUUUUGAGUCCCUUUAUGGCUACCCUCUACCUCCUCUCUCUUUUCAUCUCAAGAAGAAUGCAAUAUUGACAUUGCUCUUCAGUUUGCACAAAGAGAUAGCAAAUUUCACAACUCAUUAAAGACAACUUGCUUACUGUGCAAAACAAGAUGAAGCAGCAAAUAGAUAAGAAAAGAACAAAGAGGGAAUUCCAAGAAGGAGCUUGGAUGUAUUUGAAGAUCCAACUCUACAGACAAACCUUCCUAGCAGUCAGGAAGCACUUAAAGUUAUCUGCUAGAUACUCUGGCCCUUACCAAGUACUGUAGAAAAUUGGAGCAGUAGCCUAUAAACUCUCACUUCCUCCCAAUGCUCAGCUUCACUCUGUGUUCCAUAUUUCACUAUUCAAGGAAAAAGUGGGAGAGCGAAUACAGAUAAAUCAGAAGCUUCCAUCCUUUUACCAAGAAGAAGCCAUAAUUGCUCCUAAGAAAGUCUUAAAGUUCAGAGUCAUCGUUCGAGAUGGAAAGAGGGUUCCUCAAGGACUCAUUAAAUGGCUGAAUUUGUCAGAUGAGGAGGCAACCUGGGAAGACAAACCCUUUAUUUUGCACUAGUUUCCACAUUCAGCUCUGCUUGGGAACAAGAAGAAUCCCUUGGGGAUAGGGAUGUAAACGGGUAGGGUACCCGCAAAAUUGAGAGUACCUAAACCCGAACCCGAUUAUAUAUACAAUUCCCGAAUCCCGUCCCAAACCUGUUUAAUAUUUUAAUUUUAUUAUCCGAACCCGUCCCAAAUCCGUUUAACAAUACCCGCACAAUACCCGAACCCGAUUUUUUAAAUUCAAUUCAAUGACAAAAACUAGCAAAUAAACUACUUAACAUUUGCACAACCUAGCAAACCCAGCAGUAAAACCCAACAGUAAAAGGAGAAAUGUUCAAUGACAAGAACCAGCAACUCAGCAACCCAGCAAAUAAUGAUUUAUAACCAGAUAAUCAAAUUAAUUGUUCAUAAAUUCUAAAAAUCAACAAUAUUACAUUAAUCAAAUAGCAAAUAAUUAAAGUUUUUAAAAGUAUCUAAAUAAUCAAUUCAAUGACAAAAAUUACCAAAUAAACUACCUAACAGUAGAAUACUGUUAGGAGAAAUGUUCAAUAACAAGAAACAGCAAACCCAGCAAACCCAGCAGUAGAAAGUUCCAGUCAAAAAAUUUGAUUGCAAACCCAGCAAACCCAAACCCAGCAGUAGAAAGUUCCAGUCAAAAAAUUUGAUUGCAAACCUGAAGAAAGUUCCAGUCAAAGGAGAUGUCGCCGACAACGAUUGGGGAGAGGCAAGGGUCCAGCAUGAAGCGUCAAUUGAAAAGAGUAGAUGUCACCGACUGGAAGAGAGGAGAUAUCGCCGAUGCCGACCGGGGAGAGGGAAGAGUUGUCUCCGACUGGGAAGUGAGAGAUGCCGCCGCUGGAGAGAGAGAGAGAAGGAGAUAUCGCUGACUGGGGAGAGAGAAGAUUUAUCGUCGUCGUCGACUGGGGAGAGAAAGGAGACGUCGUCAGUCAGUGAAGUGGGAGAGAGAGGCCUUGACUGGGAAGUGGGAGAUGUCGCCGACUGGAGAGAGAAGGAGAUGUCGCCGACUGGAGAGAGAAGGAGAUAUCGCACUGUGGAGAGAGAAGAUUUAUCGGGGAGAGAAAGGAGACAUCGCCGGUGCCGACUGGGCUGCCGGGCGGCGUCGUCAGUGAAGUGGGGGAGAGGCGUCGACGAAGAGAGGAAAGGGAAGCGAGGGAGAGAGGCGCUGACGGAGAGAAGAAAGAGUAAAAUGAAAAAGGAAAUUAGGGUUAGUUUUGUUAAUAUAUAGGUAAUCGGGUUCGGGUAAUGGGUAUCCGAUCACCUAACCCCGAACCCUACCUGAAUCCGAAAUGGGUAAAAUUUUUCAAAUUCGAAUCUGCCCAAAUCUGUUUUGUAAAAACCCAAAUCCGUUCUAAUAGGGUUUGGGCGGAUCGGGUACCCGUAAAAACCCGCCCGCUUGACAUCCCUACUUGGGGAGAAGAAAAUUCUCUUGGGGAGGGUAUUGUAACGUACAACAGAAGGAAGAAGGGAGAAUAAGCUAUUGUAAUUGUUGUAACUGAAUAAAGGAAUUGGAGGAAAACAAAUAUUAGUUAGAAGGUAGUUAGUCUUGUACGCAUAUAAAAGGAGAGAGCUCUACUCUAUAAAGGCAUUCGAGAAUGAUCAAUAAUAUCUCUUUCUACCUUCUCACCUCUCUCUCUCUCUCUCUCUCUUUCUCACCCCUAUCUCUAGUUCUUUCCUCAUCACCUUUCUAAUUCUUCCCUCAUCUAAGUGUAUUCUCCUUCUAAUCCCCAAUUCUUCUUCUUUUCUCAUCUCUAUUUUCUAUUCCCAGCCAUUGUGCUAACACUGUACUACCCCUAUCUAUAACAAACUUCUAUCUAUAACAACCCCUAUAAAAUCCAUACAGCUAUAGUAUUUUCCCACCCAAAGUCUUUAUGUAUUUUAUUUCCUCUUAUUUAUAUAUUUCUUCUUAUAAUACGUGACAAUAUCUUUUGACCUUUUUUCUUAAUUCAAUAAAAGAUUCAAAUGUUCAACAUUCCAUAAUUUAAAACUAAAAUGUUUGAUUGGGAAGUAUUUAAAAGGGGAUUGUAAGUGUACUUCAGUUUAUUUGGAAUGAAAACAUUAAUUUUUAUUAAAGAAAAUAUGCUGUAAUAUUCCCGAUUUGUUUUAAACAUGAAAAAUGGGCCCUAAAAUGUUCAAUGGGUAGAAUUUAUGUUAACUAAUGGCUUGCGGAUAAUGAAAGACGGCAAAUUUUCCAAAAAAAGAAAACAUUUACUCAACUGAAGUAGUAUUUUAUUGCAGAAACACAAAUGAAGAACCUAGACAAAAAGAAGAUGUGAAUUUAAUGGGCCAAACAUGGAAAAAGAAAAAAAAAAAAAAAAGAAAAGGAUUGCAAAUUUGCCUCCUGGAAUAUCUAAUUAAAGUUUGGAGCUAAGAGUGCUAAUUCAGUGAGGGUUUAAAAAACGUGAUAUAAAAAACGGAUCAGGAUUUUACUGGAAAAAAAAUUUCAGUAUUAUAACUUUUGAUGCAGUUAAUUCUCUUGUUGUAAAAUUGUGUGUUUAUGAAAGAAAAUGUUGAUAUUAAAAACCUUUCAUUAUCUUUUUUUUUUCUUUACUGCACUUUUUGUCUCAAACUUCUAAUUUUUUUAGGCCUGAAGCUAAACUUGUGAAAGAAGUUGUGGAACAUAUUUUGAGGAAAUUGGAUCAUGCAUUCUCAGGAGAUUUGAAGGGUCUGAUUGGAAUAGACUCGCACAUUAGACAGAUCAAAAAUUUAUUAUGCAUUGGGUUGCCAAAUGUUCGUAUUGUAGGAAUUUGGGGUAUGGCUGGCAUAGGUAAAACGACUAUUGCUAGAGCUAUUUUCAACACUAUCUCAAAUCAAUUUGAAGCUUGCACUUUUCUUGAGAAUGUAAACGAAGAAUCAAAGCAAUUUGAAGGGCUACGCCGUUUAAGAGAAAAGAUUCUUUCUGAAUUACUGGAGGAAGAAAAUCUACAUAUUGUCACUUCCAACAUAGAAUCUGUUUCCGUUAAGGAAAGGAUCCGCCACAAAAGGGUUUUGCUUGUCCUUGAUGAUUUGAAUGAUGUGGAUCAGCUGGAAGUCCUCAUUGGAGGAUGCGAUUUUGCUUUGGGAAGUAGAGUUAUAGUGACAUCUAGAGAUAGGCAAGUUCUAAAGAAUGGAGUUGAUGAAAUAUAUGAAGUUGAGGGAUUAAAUGAUGAUGAAGCUCUUCAACUGUUCAGUUCCAAUGCUUUUAAGAAAAGUUACCCCACUUUUGAUAGAUUGGAGCUAUCAAAUAGGGUGGUGAACUAUGCUCAGGGAAACCCCUUAGCUCUUAAAGUUUUGGGUUCUUUCUUAUUUGACAGAAGGAGAGAAGAUUGGGAAAACACACUGGAUAAACUUGGAAGAAUUCCUCAGCCUAAAGUUUUUCAUGUGCUGAGAACAUGUUUUGACACGCUUGAUGAUGAUGAGAAAAAUAUAUUUCUGGAUAUUGCAUGUUUUUUCAAGGGGCAACAAAUUGAUUUUGUAAGGAGAGUACUAGAUGGUUGUGGUUUCUCAGCAGGAAUUGGAAUUACUGUUCUUCUUGAUAAAUCUCUUAUUACUAUCCUAGAUAACAACCUGGGAAUGCAUAAACUGUUGCAAGAAAUGGCUCAUGAAAUUGUUCGCCAAGAAUCUGUUAAAGAGCUGGGCAAGCGCAGUAGAUUGUGGAGAGCUUGUG